UAGCAGGACGGGGAGCUUGGCCGGA
rnacentral:piRNA from 1 species